rnacentral:rRNA from 1 species
AACGAACGCUGGCGGCAUGCCUAACACAUGCAAGUCGAACGCCCCGCAAGGGGAGUGGCGAACGGGUGAGUAACGCGUGGGAACCUACCCAGCAGUUGGGGAUAACCGCGGGAAACUGCGGCUAAUACCGAAUACGUCCUGAGGGAGAAAGAUUUAUCGCUGUUGGAGGGGCCCGCGUCGGAUUAGCUAGUUGGUGAGGUAAUGGCUCACCAAGGCAUCGAUCCGUAGCAGGUCUGAGAGGAUGAUCAGCCACACUGGGACUUAGACACGGCCCAGACUCCUACGGGAGGCAGCAGUGGGGAAUAUUGGACAAUGGGGGCAACCCUGAUCCAGCAAUGCCGCGUGAGUGAUGAAGGCCUUAGGGUUGUAAAGCUCUUUUACCGGGGACGAUGAUGACGGUACCCGGAGAAUAAGCCCCGGCUAACUUCGUGCCAGCCGCCGCAGUAA